CAGGUGGGGACCAGGUCCUUGUCCAUGGUGACAUGUGUACUCAACCAGGUGCGCUACAACCCAGCCCUUUACUUGCUUAUUUUUAUGUGGUUCUUGGGGGGUGAACUCAGCUAGUUCUAACUCUUUCAUCUUUCCUUGAGAAAGACGCCGUCAGUUUCCCAGGUGCCAACCACCAUGCUCCCGUGUAGUGCUGGAGCUCCAUCCCAGGGCCCUGUGCAUGGUGGAGCAAGCACUCUACUCGAUCAUUCCAGUGAGUGUGAAGACAAACCACUUUGCUUUCUUCAGUUGUUAUGUGAUGAUUUUCUUCCUCAGGUAAGGUUCCAGAUGCUACCAUGAUGCCAACCGGAUUUCCCAGGGCAGAGGAUCCCACCAAUGUGUCCUGGAGCCCCACUUCCCCAGAGCCCUGCCCCACUAGGCAAAGAGAGAGACAGUCUGGGAGUGUGCCAACGCCCAUGUUCAGCAGGGAAGCAAUUAAAGAAGCCAGACCUUAUACCUUCUGCACCCCAUAAUAAC